rnacentral:rRNA from 1 species
GACGAACGCUGGCGGCGUGCCUAAUACAUGCAAGUCGAACGCAGUGGGGACGGUUGAGUAACACGUGGGUAACCUCCCAUCAGAGGGGAUAACACUUGGAAACAGGUGCUAAACCGAUACUGAUGGAUGGACCCGCGGGGCAUUAGCUAGGUGGUGAGGUAACGGCUCACCAAGGCCACGAUGCAUAGCCGAUCUGAGAGGGGGAUCGGCCAAACUGGGACUGAGACACGGCCCAGACUCCUACGGGAGGCAGCAGGAGGGAAUCGUCGGCAAUGGACGAAAGUCUGACCGAGCAACGCCGCGUGAGUGAAGAAGGUCUUCGGAUCGUAAAGCGCUGUUGUUAGAGAAGCGGUAUCUAAACAGAAAGCCACGGCUAACUACGUGCCAGCAGCCGCGGUAAUUC